rnacentral:rRNA from 1 species
GAUAAACGCUAGCGGCAGGCUUAACACAUGCAAGUCGAGGGGCAGCAUAGAUUGUAGCAAUACAAUUGGUGGCGACCGGCGCACGGGUGCGUAACGCGUAUGCAACCUACCCGUCACAGGGGGAUAAUCCGGAGAAAUCUGGUCUAAUACCCCAUAACAUAUGGAUCGGCAUCGGGUCAUGUUGAAAUUUUCGGAGGUGACGGAUUGGAAUGCGUAGCAUUAGCUUGUUGGUGAGGUAACGGCUCACCAAGGCGACGAUGCUUAAGGGGACUGAGAGGUUUUCCCCCCACACUGGUACUGAGACACGGACCAGACUCCUACGGGAGGCAGCAGUGAGGAAUAUUGGUCAAUGGGCGCAAGCCUGAACCAGCCAUGCCGCGUGCAGGAUGACGGCUCUAUGAGUUGUAAACUGCUUUUGUACGAGGGUAAAGUGGGUUACGUGUAACCUUUUGAAAGUAUCGUACGAAUAAGGAUCGGCUAACUCCGUGCCAGCCGCCGCAGUAA